rnacentral:tRNA from 1 species
GAAGAAUUAGUUAACUAAUAACAUUAGCGUGUCAAACUAAAAUAAUCAUUUUUGGAGAAAUGAUAUUCCUCA